rnacentral:rRNA from 1 species
CCUACGGGAGGCAGCAGUGGGGGAUAUUGGGCAAUGGGCGCAAGCCUGACCCAGCAACGCCGCGUGAAGGAAGAAGGCUUUCGGGUUGUAAACUUCUUUUGUCAGGGAAGAGGAGAAGACGGGACCUGACGAAUAAGCCACGGCUAACUACGUGCCAGCAGCCGCGGUAAUACGUAGGUGGCAAGCGUUGUCCGGAUUUACUGGGUGUAAAGGGCGUGUAGCCGGGUUGACAAGUCAGAUGUGCAAUCCUGCGGCUUAACCGCAGAACUGCAUUUGAAACUGUUGAUCUUGAGUACUGGAGAGGCAUAUGGACUUCCUAGUGUAGCUGUGAAAUUCGUAGAUAUUAGGCGGAACACCAGUGGCGAAGGCGGUCUGCUGGACAGCAACUGACGGUGAGGCGCGAACGCGUGGGGAGCAAACAGGAUUAGAUACCCUAGUAGUC